UCGAGAAUCUUCGGCAAUGGGCGAAAGCCUGACCGAGCGAUGCCGCGUGCGGGAUGAAGGCCUUCGGGUUGUAAACCGCUGUCGUAGGGGAGAAAGGGUCGUUGAAGAAACGACUUUGAUCUAUCCUAGGAGGAAGUCCGGGCUAAGUUCGUGCCAGCAGCCGCGGUAACACGAACCGGACAAACGUUAUUCGGAAUUACUGGGCUUAAAGGGUGCGUAGGCGGUGCGGUAAGUGCGGUGUGAAAUCCCACGGCUCAACCGUGGAAUUGCGCUGCAUACUGCCGUGCUAGAGGGAGACAGGGGUAAGCGGAACUGAUGGUGGAGCGGUGAAAUGCGUUGAUAUCAUCAGGAACACCGGUGGCGAAAGCGGCUUACUGGGUCUCUUCUGACGCUGAGGCACGAAAGCUAGGGUAGCGAACGGGAUUAGAUACCCACGUAGUCCCUGAGCGGGCUGGCAAGGCGCAU
rnacentral:rRNA from 1 species